rnacentral:lncRNA from 1 species
AGUCUUUUACUGAGCCUAUGCCUGUGGACUGCAAACUUCACAAGUGUUUUUAUUUCUUUUCUCUCUCCUGGUGGGAUUGGAUGGUUAGAAAGGACUGGAGUUGGGAAUUUUCCUUCCUUCCAUCAGUUAGGCCCUGAUAAUACCCCCAGCAGGACAGAUGAAGGUUAACUACCUUCUCCUGAGGGCAGACCUUGUUAAGAAGAACAGAGUGAUCUGGAGUAUUUCAAAAUGGCUCCUUCCCCCUGCCUCUGCUGGCAGCUCAAGGGGAUUUUUCUCUGAUAUUUACUAUGGGAGCCUAGUUGGCCUCACGGUGUUUGAGCUCAAGGUGGUAAAUCUCACAAAACUGUGGGGGCCCCCUAUGACUUGGUUCCCCCGGAGUUUUUUAUUCUCAGAUGUCCACAAUGAACCUCCAGCAUUUUCAUCAAUUUCAGCCUGGUUUCCCUACCCUGACUCUGCUUCAUGAGAUGCAUGAGGAGAUUUUUCUGUAGCAUUCGCUGUGAGGACCUGUAGAACUUCCGGAGAUUUAAGUGCCUUUUCUCCUGGAUAAAUGCUUUGUGAAGGAAUUGCUGGAUCAUAAUUCUGGAAGCUAGAAGUCUGAAAUCAAGGUAUCAACAGACGAUGCUCCUUCUGAAGGCUCCAGGGAAGACUCUCCCCUUGCCUCUUGGAGCUUCUGGGUGCUGCUGGCCAUCAUUGCUAUUCCUAGGCUUGGAGCUGCAUCACCCCAAUCUCUGUCCCUUCUUCACACAGCCUUCUCCUUUGUGUGUAAAUAUCUCCACUUGUUUGUGUCACUUCCUAAACGGAGACCAGUGCUUGGAUUUAGGGCUCACUCUGAUCUAAUGUGACCUCCUCUUAACUCGAUUAUACCUGCAAAGAGUAUUUCCAAAUGAGGUCACAUCAACAGGUGCCAGAUGGACAUGACUUUUGGGGAGACACUACUAUGAAAACCAUGCUUAGCUCAAAGGCCAUACAAAAACAGGCCACAGGAUGAAUUCCGCUCACGUGCUAUCAUCUGCUGACCCCUGGUAUGAGUAUUGUAAUGUCAAACCAAACUUAGAGUAAACUCAAAGAUUUUAUUUCCGACUGUAUAACAACUAGGAAAAGGUCAAAUAUUUUAAAAAGUCAUUUUCAGAGACUGGCGCAUUUUGUCAUGUAUAGCACACCAGGGACCGCAUCCAGUUGAGGAAGCUAGAAGCAGAGGAGGUAGAAUGAACCCUAAUAAUAUGUGAUUAAAAAACAGAGUCCUGUCAAGUGAGGCAAAACAACCAUAAUUUGAGAUGGCUAGCAUUCUUAUUUUUACUUCAAAAAACAAACAAAAAAAAGUGUUUUUAUGUUAACAUCUG